rnacentral:rRNA from 1 species
AGGAUGAACGCUGGCGGCGUGCCUAAUACAUGCAAGUCGAGCGGUAAGGCCACUUCGGUGGUACACGAGCGGCGGACGGGUGAGUAACACGUAGGAACGUACCCCAAACUGAGGGAUAAGCACCAGAAAUGGUGUCUAAUACCGCAUGUGCUCUUCGGAGUAAAGCUUCGGCGGUUUGGGAACGGCCUGCGCAUGAUUAGCUUGUUGGUGAGGUAAAAAGCUCACCAAGGCGACGAUCAUUAGCUGGUCUGAGAGGAUGACCAGCCACACUGGGACUGAGAUACGGCCCAGACUCCUACGGGAGGCAGCAGUAGGGAAUUUUCCACAAUGGACGAAAGUCUGAUGGAGCAACGCCGCGUGCAGGAUGAAGGCCUUCGGGUCGUAAACUGCUUUUAUAUGUGACGAUUAUGACGGUAGCAUAUGAAUAAGGAUCGGCUAACUCCACGCCAGCAGCCGCGGUAA